UUGUACUUCUACUGUGAUGGUGAUUGUGUGAAAACUCAAAAGGUUAGCAAUAAUGCAAAAGAAGUACCGAAAAUUCAGGAAGUGACCAUAGUCAGACUUCUGGAGAGUUACGAGAAACAGGGGGUAUGUUACAAAAGCCACACAUUACGUAUGUCACAGCAUAAGGACAUGCAUGCCCGCCAAUGGAGUAUCUUAACAUACCUGCUCUCCCAGCUCAGGAGUCUUCAGACUACAGGGUGCCAAGGUUCAAAUCCAGGACCUUAUGCAUGUAAGCAAGUUCUCUGCCGCUGAAGAAUUACCUCUAGCCCUACAGAUGUGGUUCUUGUCACAGAAUCUUUGACAUCUCAAUAUCAAGAGCUAUGAAUCCAGAGCUGUGGUUUCUACCUACUCUUGGAAGCAUUCUGCCCAGAGAGAAAGGAGGUUUCCCCAGAACCACAACAUUCCCACUCCUCUUAUCUUGUAUUGUGGGUCACUCAGACAUGCUCUCUAAUAAAGCUCCUAGGAACACACAAA